rnacentral:lncRNA from 1 species
UCGCCGCAUUGAUUUGCCUUUUUGGUUCAUGAUCGUAGGUCUUUUCAGGGCAAUUUGAGUUUGACGCUUCCUCCCGAUGCUCGAGCUUAGGGAUCCAAACUUCUCAUUACUUUGAGGAAGUUGAUUUCUCCUCGGCCUAAGCUGAGUUCCCUUUUAUUGGCUGAGGGUUUCUUGAUAGGAGCAUCCUUCCUCAUUGAGAUGAGGUCUCUUGUGUCUUUGAUAUAGUUUGUUUUUCACUUAUCACUGGUCUAGUUCGUCGCUUUCCCUUUUCAUCUUCUUUUUUUUGUGUUUGAGUGAGGGUUUUUCCUCUGCUCCUAGCAGGGUCGUGGGAGUGUAGAGGUGCUGUUGAGGAGGCUUUCUUCCUCGUCCGAUCUUGAUCUACUGGGUCUUUGUUUAUGUCAGGAUGAGGUUCUCCUCUUAUUUUCGACAGUCAAUUUCAGCUCAUGUAAGGAUGAGGUUCUCCUUCUGUUCCUAACAGGGCUGUGGGGGCAUGUAAGGGCCGCUGUAAGAGCCUCUCCCCCUAUCCGAUCUCUAAGUAACCGGGCCUUCGACUUUGCUCAUAUUAGGAUGAGGUUCUCCUCCUAUUUCUAACAAGACUGUGGGGGCACAUAAGGGCCGUUGCGAGGGCCUCUCUCCCCAUCCAGUCUUUAAGUAACCGAGCCUUCGACUUUGCUCAUGUUAGGAUGAGGUUCUCCUCCUAUUCCUAAUAAGACUGUGGGGGCACAUAAGGGCCAUUGCGAGGGCCUCUCCCUCCAUCCGAUCUUUAAGUAAUCGGACCUUCGACUUUGCUCAUGUUAGGAUGAGGUUCUCCUCCUAUUCCUAACAAGGCUGUGGGGGCACAUAAGGACCAUUGCGAGGGCCUCUCCUCCCAUCCGAUCUUUAAGUAACCGGACCUUCGACUUUGCUCAUGUUAGGAUGAGGUUCUCCUCCUGUUCCUAACAAGGCUGUGGGGGCACAUAAGAACCGUUGCGAGGGCCUCUCCCCCCAUCCGAUCUUUAAGUAAUCGGACCUUCGACUUUGCUCAUGUUAGGAUGAGGUUCUCCUCCUGUUCCUAACAAGGCUGUGGGGGCACAUAAGGGCUGUUGCGAGGGCCUCUCCCCCCAUCCGGUCUUUAAGUAACCG